rnacentral:lncRNA from 1 species
GUGCCUCUGUUUGUAGUCUGUCUGUGCAAUUUUCUUACAGCAGCAGAGGAUAUGAUCAAUGGUUUUGUUGGUUUCCUUGCACAGUCUGCAUUUUGGGUCAUCAGCUGAUUUUUCGAUCUUGGCCUUAAUUGCCUUUGUCCUGAUGGCUUGCUCCUGGGCUGCAAGGAUCAGGCCUUCUGCCUCCUUCUUCAGUGUCCCAUUCGUGAGCCAUAGCCAGGUCUUCUCCUUAUCAAUUUUGUCAAGGAACUUUCCAUGCAGUGUUUUGUUGGGCUGGAUGGCCCUUAGGGGUCUCUCCAACCUCUUGUGCCUGUCCCCUGGGCUGAGUCGGUUGCUAGGAGACCAAGUGGGCGGAACUUAGCCUUCUAACUGGCAGCAAUUGGAUAAAAACAAUUAUUCCUCUCCCUCUAAUUAGGACUUUAUUUUUCUUUUCUUUUUGUUGUAUCAACCUAGAGCCAUGGAUGAUGGGUUGUGUUGUCAAAUUUUGAAGUUGGGGGGCCUGUAGUUUUGUUGUUUUGUCCGCUGCCCUGAUGCCAUCACUCUUUUAUAUAUAUAGAUUUUUUAGUUGGCCGCAUAUAUUCUCGAACGCUGAGUUAACUGUCGUCCAAUUGGAUGAGGGGGCUUGAAUUGUGGCUGACCAAUGUGCAAAGUCUAUGGAAUUAAGGGACCUGUUUAUCGCACCAGUGUUGACCUUAUGCCACCUGAUUCUUUUGUUUAGUUGUACCUCAGUGUUGUUUGUAAUUCAGCGAUCUAGCUCAUUAGUAAAUCUAAGGUCCGAUGGUACCCUGAUCUUAACACUGACUGGUUGAUGAUCACUAUCAGCUCUGGGAAGAACUUCAAUUUGUGAAAAGAGAUUGUCUUUUCCAACAGAUGAAAUCAAGUACACUACUCGUGUAUAUGCCAUGCAAUGUGUAGGGGUAUUUCAAGUUAGGACCAUUGCCCCCUAGGAUUAGCAGGUUGCAUUUGCUGGUUAGUGAUAAAAGUUUUGCACCUGCUGUAUUGGUCUUGGUGUCGCAGGAAAACCAACGGGGUAUCCUGCUUGCAGAGAGACUGGGGAGGCCUAUAGAGGAUGCUAAGGUCACAGGUGAAGAGCCUAGUGUGGUAUUAAAAUCCCCCAACAUAAUAAGUGGGUGAAGGAGUGAGAUGCCUAGAAUCAUGGCUUCUAACUGCACCCAUAUUUCAGGUCUGUAAUAUGGGAAUGUGAAAGGUGGGAUAUAAAGGUGGGCCAGGCUGUGGCGCAGCUGGCUAGUAACCAGCUGCAAUAAAUCACUACUGACUGAGAGGUCAUGAGUUCGAAGCCCGGGUCGGGUUAAGCCCCCGACCAUUAAAUAGCCCGGCUUGCUGUUGACCUAUGCAGCCCCGAAAGACAGUUGCAUCUGUCAGUUAGGGAAAUUUAGGUACACUUUAUGCGGGAGGCUAAUUUAACUAAUUCACGACAUCAUAAAACUGCCAGCAAAACACAAGGAAAGGAAUGAGGAAGUACAGCCACUAGUGGACAGUGAAGCAACAGCUCCCCCUGUGGCCAAAAUCGUGAAGCUGGAAAAAAAAAGUUAAAUGCCUCUGUGUCUGUCUAUAUAUGUUGUUUGUCUGUUGGCAUUGAAUGUUUGCCAUAUAUGUGUUCAUUGUUAUCCGCCCUGAGUCCCCUUUGGGGUGAGAAGGGCGGAAUAUAAAUACUGUAAAUGAAUAAAUGAAUACACAUUGAUCAUUAUUAGGUCACUAUUCCUGUAACUGAACCUUACAACCAGAACUUGUGGUAAGUCAUCUGCCUCAUAUAAUUUGGUACCUUUCCAAUUUAGUUCUGUCUUCAACAGAAUCCCUAGACCGCCAGAAGCUCUCCCUUAAUUUUUUGAUUUUUGGGCAUUAUUAUACCAAAUGUCAUAGCCAGGCAGCUGUAACUGAUCCCCUCCCAUUUUGUAGAAGACAAUAGACCUCUUGGCCAUAUUGCCUGGGCAUUCAAGUUAUGACAGACAUGACCACCAUAAUUAGCCCACUCAGGAGCUCCA